rnacentral:rRNA from 1 species
GAGUUUGAUCCUGGCUCAGAACGAACGCUGGCGGCAUGCCUAACACAUGCAAGUCGAACGAGACCUUCGGGUCUAGUGGCGCACGGGUGCGUAACGCGUGGGAAUCUGCCCUUCGGUUCGGAAUAACUCAGGGAAACUUGAGCUAAUACCGGAUGAUGACUUCGGUCCAAAGAUUUAUCGCCGAGGGAUGAGCCCGCGUCGGAUUAGCUAGUUGGUGAGGUAAAAGCUCACCAAGGCGAUGACCCGUAGCUGGUCUGAGAGGAUGAUCAGCCAUACUGGGACUGAGACACGGCCCAGACUCCUACGGGAGGCAGCAGUGGGGAAUAUUGGACAAUGGGCGAAAGCCUGAUCCAGCAAUGCCGCGUGAGUGAUGAAGGCCUUAGGGUUGUAAAGCUCUUUUACCCGGGAAGAUAAUGACUGACCGGAGAAUAA